UCAAUGGUAGUCCGGGCGGGGCUUCCGCAAGGAAGGCCGGUAUCAAUUGGACCCGGUAACGCCAACCCUGUUCGGGCUGCCACCA
rnacentral:antisense_RNA from 1 species